UACGAGGGGGGCAAGCGUUGUUCGGAAUUAUUGGGCGUAAAGGGUGCGUAGGCGGUCGGGUAAGUCUGGUGUGAAAUCUCACAGCUUAACUGUGAAACUGCAUUGGAUACUAUCCGGCUCGAGGAAUGGAGGGGAGACUGGAAUACUUGGUGUAGCAGUGAAAUGCGUAGAUAUCAAGUGGAACACCAGUGGCGAAGGCGAGUCUCUGGACAUUUCCUGACGCUGAGGCACGAAAGCCAGGGAGCAAACGGGAUUAGAGUACCCCAGUA
rnacentral:rRNA from 1 species